UUUUAGAGUUUGAUCCAUGGCUCAGGAUGAACGCUGGCGGCGUGCCUAACACAUGCAAGUCGAGCGAGAAGAUUUGGAUUGCGGCUUCGGCCAAGUGAAGAGUUGGAAAGCGGCGGACGGGUGAGUAACGCGUGGGCAACCUGCCCCAUACAGAGGGAUAGCCACUGGAAACGGUGAUUAAUACCUCAUAAGGUCAUAGUGUCGCAUGACACAGUGGUCAAAGAUUUAUCGGUAUGGGAUGGGCCCGCGUCUGAUUAGCUAGUUGGUGAGGUAAAAGCUCACCAAGGGGACGAUCAGUAGCCGACCUGAGAGGGUGAUCGGCCACACUGGAACUGAGACACGGUCCAGACUCCUACGGGAGGCAGCAGUGGGGAAUAUUGCACAAUGGGCGCAAGCCUGAUGCAGCAACGCCGUGUGAGUGAUGAAGGCCUUCGGGUCGUAAAACUCUGUCCUAAGGGAAGAAAAAAAUGACGGACCUAGGAGGAGCCCCGCAA
rnacentral:rRNA from 1 species